CCAACUCUGGCCUCCCAGAGUGUUGGGAUUAUAGGCAUGAGCCCCUGCGCCCGGCCUCAAGGUCAUUUUGAAAUCGGUCGUCUGGGUGGGGCACACGGUGGUCACGAUGUCCCCUGCACACCCAGGCAGGAAACCCAGGAGGAGAGCCUGGGGCUGGAGUCCCUGAGGAUUUUCAUCUUUUCCUGGUGGCUUAUCUCUGUUUCUGUUUUCCCUUCUGGGAUUUACUGCUGGUCCUCAUGCUGCCUUCCCCCUCGGUGUGGGGGGUCUGUGUCUCCCUCUGCACCCCCCCAACCCUACCCGGCCCCACGCUGUCCUCAGACACACCGGGCACGUUCUGGCCUCAGGGAUUCUACUCUGCUCAUCCCUCUGCCUGGAAUGCUGUUCCCCGGGGCCCCAGUUGGUUUCACCCAGGACCCCUUCUUGGAUUGGCCUUUGAGGGCCACACCCACGCCCGUGUCCUGCUGGCUGUCCACCUGGCCUCCCUGAGGUCAGCUCCAGGCGGGAGGGCCCCUGGUCCACACUGUCCCCUGCUCCUGGCACAGAGGCUGGCAUAAAGACGCUCGGUGAAUGUUGGUGACCCAAUGCAUGCAUGGAGCAAAGGCCAGAGGAGGGGCUUCUCUGUAAAGCGCUGUUACCCACCGCCUCACGCCACAGCCUCGUGAGGGUGCUCCGGGGCCUCUGGGCAAGAUUCUGCCCCCAAAUCCUCUGUCUCUUGUUUAUGGAGAGCCUGGGGGAGGGAAACCGGCUCCUGCAGGACCCUCAGCCCAGCAGAAAACCUGCACCACCCCACAGCCCCACCAGUGUCUCUGCACCGGCUGCUGUGGCUGGGACCUCUGGGGAAGCAGCUCAGGGCUGCAAGUCCGUGUGUGAGUCGUGUGAGUCAUGGGCACAUGUCUCUGCACACAUGCAUGAGUCACGCACACCCGUCUCUGCACACACACGUGUCCACAUGCUCCCGUCUCUGCACACACACAUCCACACGCACCCGUCUAUGCACACACGUGUGAAGUCACGUGCACCUGUCUCUGCACACAUACGUGUCAACACGCACCCGUCUCUGCACACACGUGGAAUCACGCAACCCAUCUCUGCGCAUGUGUGUCCACACGCUCCUGUCUCUGCACACACGCGUGGAGUCACGCGCACCCAUCUCUGCACACACAUGUGGAGUCACGCGCACCCAUCUCUGCACACACGUGUCCACACGCUCCCGUCUGCACACACGUGUCCACACGCACCCGUCUCUGCACACACAUGUGUCCACACACACCCGUCUCUGCACACACGCGUGGAGUCACGUGCACCCAUCUCUGCACACGAGUCGAGUCACACACACCUGUCUCUGCACACACGAGUGUCCACAGGCUCCUGCUCAUGUGCUGCACCUGCUGGCUUUGGGCACCGACGUCAACGCUUUGUCAUUGUGGUGGGAGGCCGUCAGGACAGAGAAGUGCCCGUCCCAGAGGACUCAGUCCCCCUGGGGUUAGAGCCAGGCACAGGUCUCCCUCAGCCCCUGAAGCUGGGCACUGUGGCCUGAUACAUUCCUCCCAGGGAGGUGGGGGAACCUCAGGCCUGGACCAUGGCUCAGCCCUCUCGUCCCCAGGACGUGGAACACAGUGCCACGGUUGGCUGGUCGGCUGCAGUGCUGGGCACGGGCACAGGCCCAGCCUCCUUCCCCACGGCCAAACCAGGGGGUGCUAAUUCUGGCCUGCCCUGCGCUCCUGUGCACUGUGUGCGUGACUCAUGGGUGACUCCGGAUUUCUGGGCAUAAGGUGGGUUCCAGCAGAAAGUACCCCAGAGGACCAGGCAGGCUGGGGGGCAGCCCUGCCCCUCACCUCCAGACCCUGUCGCCCAUCCCCAGCCAGGGGGUCCCUUCUCUGUCCUCUCGUCUGCCCAGCCCCAGGCCUUGACCUCCUCCCUGUGGAUUUGCAGGGGCGGGGAGGGACAGGGACACCCUGAUCUCAGGGCGGCUCUCAGGGAAGCAGUGCUGGGGAGGGGUAGGUGAGGCUGCCCCUCCCACGGGGCCCACAUCACUACCCUGGUCUGAGGCACCGCCUCCAGGAAGCCCUCUCUGAGCUCUGAGCGCCUGCGGUCUCCCGUGUGCUGCUCUCUGUGGGGUCCUGCAGACCCAGAGGGGCUCAGCUGCACUCAUCAGGCUGGGAGAGCUGGGUGUGGGGAACAUGGCCGGGCUCCCGAGGCUCCUGCUGCUGCCCCUCCUCCUGGCGCUGGCUCGUGGCCUGCCUGGGGCCCUGGCCGCCCAAGCCGUCGGACACUGGCACCUACACCUGCCAGGCCGUCACGGAGAUCAAUGUCUACGGCUCCGGUACCCUGGUCCUGGUGACAGAGGAACAGUCCCAAGGAUUGCACAGAUGCUCGGACGCCCCGCCGACAGGCUCUGCCCUCCCUGUCCCGCCAACAACCUCUGCCCUCCCUGCCCUGCCAACAGCCUCUGCCCUCCCUGCCCUGCCGACAGCCUCUGCCCUCCCUGUGGCCCUGGCAGUGGUCUCCUUCCUCCUCGGGCUGGCCCUGGGGGUGGCCUGUGUGCUGGUGAGGACGCAGAUGAAGAAACUGUGCUCGUCGCGGGAUAAGAAUUCGGCAGCGUGUGUGGUGUACGAGGACAUGUCCCACAGCCGCUGCAACACGCUGUCCUCCCCCAACCAGUACCAGUGACCCAGUGGGCCCGGCCACGCCGCCCCCGUGGUCCCCCCAGCAUCUUCCCCACCCCACCGCGUCCCCCACCCCUCCACACCUCCACCCGGCCACAGCCCUUACCCCUCCGCGCCCCCCACCCCGCUGUCCUCCCACGGCUGCAGCAGAGUUUGAAGGGCCCAGCCCUGCCCAGCUCCGAGCAGGCACACAGGCAGUGGCCAGGCCCCACGGUGCUUCUCAGUGGACAAUGACGCCUCCUCCGGGAAGCCUUCCCUGCCCAGCCCCGCUGUCACGAGGAGGAAGCCUGACUGUCCUUUGGCUGCAUCUCCCAACCAUGGCCAAGGAGGGCUUCUCUGUGGGAUGGGCCUGGGCACUCAGCCCUCUCCUGUCAGUGCCGGCCCACCCACCAACAGGCCCCAACCCCCGGCAGCCCGGCCGAGGACCGGAGACCAGUCUGCCACCCACAGCCGCACCAGAAAUAAAGGCUUCUAACUUCCUCUUCUGA